rnacentral:lncRNA from 13 species
AUUGCUCUCUGAAGCAGCUACCAUGAUUGCCUCAAUUUUACAGGUGAAGAAACCAGCUGAGAGUAUAAGAUAUGGUAUACCUAAGUCAAGUAGCUAAUGAACUGGAGAGCUGCUGACUCUGGCACCCAGGACUGCUUGUAUUCAAAGGACCCUGACUGCUGAAGGCCCAGGACUCCUGGCGGUGUGACUUUGGGGCCCCAGCUGCCUUGCCAGCCCGGUAGACCUCUCUCCACUAAUGCAGGUGUCUUAGAAGCACCUUCACCUUUGCUUUUAUUGUCCAAGGCCAGUUUCUGCACAGUCUUCAGGUGGAAAACCAAAACCAUCAGUGGUAGAUGAACACGUGACACUGCGUGCCACAGGCUCUGCUGGGUACAAGGAAAGAAGUGCUGUAGGAACCAGCCAAGCCAUAUUAAAAGACAGCUGCAGCUCUCACCAAGGACAAACAUUUGAAAGAUAUGGAUAUUGCCUACAUGUAUUUAUGGUGCUUGGGAUCUUCCCCACCCACCUGUGCGUGCUAUAAUCUCUGACAGGAGAGGAGGGCAGUUUCGGGAACCUCAAGGUGAUCGCUCUGGCUUUCCUUUAAUCACAUUUUAAAACUUACAUAUUGGUAGAACCAAAGGCUCUGCCUGGGUAGUGGAUUGGAGGAGACUCUAAGAGUCUAGUGUCUAAAUUAGAAAAUUUAGUUUUACGUAUCUCUUCAUGAAUUAUUCACAGCAACCCUAAGAGAUAGCUAGGGCUGGUAUUUUUAUUCUCAUUUUACAGAUGAGGAAACUGAGCCCCAGUGAGGUUAAGAUAUACGCUUUAGGUGAUAGGCCUUGCCAAUAGCAUCUAAGAUCCCUUGGCUCCAUUGCCCGGGCCACGAAC